UGAGGAACAUGACCUUCGGCGGGGGAUAGCCGGCCCAACGGCCGGGUAAUACCGCGUACGACCACUUUGGGACAUCCCUGGGUGGUGAGAGCAGCAAUGCGCCGAUGGAGUGCCUCGCGGCCUAUCAGCUAGUUGGUGAGGUAACGGCUCACCAAGGCGACGACGGGUAGCUGGUCUGAGAGGAUGGCCAGCCACAUUGGGACUGAGACACGGCCCAGACCUCCCGUAAGGGAGG
rnacentral:rRNA from 1 species